AUGCUUCUGAAAUUAGCUGGACUUUUGCUUGAACUCAUAUGGACAGGCAUAUGCGCCUACCAAACUCGAUGGUCGGCAAAGCGGCUACGCAAGAUAGCCAAUGCCAUCAAAGGGAAGAAGAGGGGUGUAAUAAGCAAGUCCACUUUCGGUGAUUUGCUUCACAUAUCUCCUCUGGUUCCUCCUCCGGAAGCGCUUCUAGAUUUCAUAGUUAUGAGGAUUGACACUAAGAAGUGUCUGCUCAAGUUAAAUGAUCGCAAGAAGACCCCCUUCACAAGACACAUGGUUAAGAAGAUAUUCAAUGUCCCAUCUGGUAGCAAAUCGCUAGAAUUCGGCAAGAGGGGGAAAGCAAAAUUCCGCGACGUUCAUUUGGAUGGUGAAAGGGCUACAAUAGCCACCACAGUAGCUGUUAUAUUAAAAGCGGAUGAUGACGAUGAGGAGACCAUUAACAGUUCAGCUUCGGUACACCUUACGCAACAUCAAAGUUUAUGUCAUAUAUGUAGAUCAACUUGCCCAAAGAUCAAUCCAAGGCAAUGUCCAGAGGAGCCGCCGAAAAUAAAUGACCAAGGUGGAGCUGUUGCGGCCGCAACACCCACUCUGGAUGUGCCUGAGAGCUCCCACACACAAGCCAAUCCACAAGGGGGAGCCAAUGUGGGCUCUCGAGAACCAUCUAAGGGUGGCAUGGAGGGUACCGAUGGCAUAGCAGAGAAUGUGCACGAGGCACCUCCGGAUAAGAUGGAGGAUGGUGAUGAUGUGUACAGCUCUCUGGAGGAGUGGCUCCACGCAUUGCCUACAUUUGAGGAGUUAGAGCUGUCUAAGCAACCGGAUGGCAUUCAUGGGACUACAACAACCGCUACAACCAGUGCCAGUGAAGUGUCUCCGCAGUAG
rnacentral:rRNA from 1 species